UACAGAGGUCUCAAGCGUUGUUCGGAUUCAUUGGGCGUAAAGGGUGCGUAGGUGGCGCUGUAAGUCGGGUGUGAAAUUUCGGAGCUUAACUCCGAAACUGCAUUCGAUACUGCGGUGCUUGAGGACUGGAGAGGAGACUGGAAUUCAUGGUGUAGCAGUGAAAUGCGUAGAGAUCAUGAGGAAGACCAGUGGCGAAGGCGGGUCUCUGGGCCGAUACUGACGCUGAGGAGCGAAAGCGUGGGGAGCAAACGGG
rnacentral:rRNA from 1 species